UAAGUACUGCUAUGAGUUGGGAGUGAAGUAUGUGACUAUAUAUGCCUUCAGCAUUGAUAAUUUUAGAAGGCGACCUGAUGAGGUUCAGCUCAUAAUGGAUCUAAUACUGGAGAAGAUUGAGGGGCUGCUCAGGGACGAAAAUGUUGUCAAUGCAUAUGGCAUCAGAGUACGAUUUGUAGGUACCUUGAAGCUUCUAAGUGAGCCAGUCAGGGUCGCAGCAGAAAAAGUCGCCAGGGCUAGUGCCAAGAAUACCAAGUUUGUGCUUGUCAUUUGUAUAGCCUAUUCUUCAACUGAUGAGAUUGUGCAUGCUGUUCAAGAAUCUUGUAAAUAUAAAUUGAACAAAAUUGAGCCAUCUAACUCCAACAGGGCUUGCAAUGAUGGGAAUGAACAAGUAGAAGAAAAUGGUAAGAAGAUAGAUAGUACCAUCACACAUGGUGUUCAAGAAUCCUGCAAAGAUGAAACAGAUAAAUCUCGCACAAUAAACGCAAAGCCAAUGUAUAAUGGUGUGACCAAAGAAGCUGGAGGGACUGACAAUGCUAAUACUGUGAUAGUAAAUUCCAUCGGAGACAAGUGGGAUGAUGCUCACGAACUGGAGGCAACUAGAACUGGCAAUGGUGUGAUUUCAGUAGAAGAAAUUGAUAAGAUGCUGUCACAUUCUAGCAUAAAGCUGGUAGACAUUGAGAAAAAAUUGCACAUGGCUGUAGCCCCUGAUCCUGAUAUCUUGGUUCGAACUUCUGGAGAGAGCCGUCUGAGCAACUUCCUACUUUGGCAGACUAGUAACUGUUCACUGUAUUCUCCAAAGGCACUGUGGCCGGAGAUUGGCCUACGCCACUUGGUGUGGGCAGUAAUAACCUUCCAACGUAAUCAUUCUUAUUUGGAGAAGAAAAAGAAGCAGUUGUAACCAUUUCUUUUUCACCUUUUUCCGAC
rnacentral:misc_RNA from 1 species